rnacentral:tRNA from 1 species
GGGGUUGUGGCUCAGCGGUAGAGUGCUUGCCUUGCAUGUGCAAGGCCCUGGGUUCGAUCCUCAGCACCA